rnacentral:rRNA from 1 species
GAUGAACGCUAGCUACAGGCUUAACACAUGCAAGUCGAGGGACCGGCGCCCGGGUGAGUAACACGUAUCCAACCUGCCCUUUACUCGUGGAUCUCCUUUCGAAAGACAGAUUAAUACCCGAUAUAAAGGAUGGGGAUGCGUUCCAUUAGGUUGUUGGUGAGGUAACGGCCCACCAAGCCUUCGAUGGAGAGGGGUUCGGAGAGGAAGGUCACCGACAUUGGAACGGAGGCACGGGCCAAACGCCUACGGGAGGCAGCAGUGAGGAAUAUUGGUCAAUGGGCGUUAGCCUGAACCAGCCAAGUAGCGGGAAGGAUGAAGGCUUAUGGGUCGUAAACUUCUUUUAUAUAAGAAUAUGUAUUAGAUGAAGAAGGAUCGGCUAACUCCGUGCCAGCAGCCGCGGUAAUAC